rnacentral:rRNA from 1 species
UCUAUGUGCUCGCGUCCCGGGUUAGCCUAAGUCCUUUGGGAUAAGUAUCAUGGAGGUGAGAAUCCCGUUCAUGGUUAAUCUUGAGGAUGCUCUACGAUACGUUUUCCCAGAAGUCGAGUUGUUUGGGAUUGCAGCUCAAAAUAGGGAGGUAAAUUUCUCCUAAGGCUAAAUAUUGGCGAGAGACCGAUAGCGAACAAGUACCGUGAGGGAAAGAUGAAAAGAACUUUGAAAAGAGAGUUAAACAGUACGUGAAAUUGUUGAAAGGGAAACGAUUGAAGUCAGUCAUACCAACGGGAAAUCAACCUUUUUGAGCUUGUCUCCUGGGUUCGAAAAGUUUUUAACGCCUUUCGGGUUUCGAGAGAAUGGGAUCUUUCUGGUGUACUUUUCUCGCACGGUUAGUCCACAUCGGUUUUUGAAUGGUCAUAAAAUGACUGGGAGGAAUGUAGCUUCCAUCUCGUAUCGAAAUGUUAUAGCCCUUUGGUAGAUGUGAUGGUUUGAGAACCAGGAUUGCCAACGGGAUACCCUUUCAUGGGGCUAUUCCGUCUCGAUCCCCUGAAUACCGUUGCCCUCGACGUUUGAAAGCUUUGCUUAUGAUUGUUAGGGUAUUACGGUCAAAAGGUUAAGAAACGGAUUAAAUUCGUUUAAGGUUGUUGCGCGG